rnacentral:rRNA from 1 species
AUUGAACGCUGGCGGCAGGCCUAACACAUGCAAGUCGAGCGGAUGAGUGGAGCUUGCUCCAUGAUUCAGCGGCGGACGGGUGAGUAAUGCCUAGGAAUCUGCCUGGUAGUGGGGGACAACGUUUCGAAAGGAACGCUAAUACCGCAUACGUCCUACGGGAGAAAGUGGGGAUCUUCGGACCUCACGCUAUCAGAUGAGCCUAGGUCGGAUUAGCUAGUAGGUGGGGUAAUGGCCCACCUAGGCGACGAUCCGUAACUGGUCUGAGAGGAUGAUCAGUCACACUGGAACUGAGACACGGUCCAGACUCCUACGGGAGGCAGCAGUGGGGAAUAUUGGACAAUGGGCGAAAGCCUGAUCCAGCCAUGCCGCGUGUGUGAAAGAAGGUCUUCGGAUUGUAAAGCACUUUAAGUUGGGAGGAAGGGCAGUAAGUUAAUACCUUGCUGUUUUGACGUUACCAACAGAAUAAGCACCGGCUAACUUCGUGCCAGCAGCCGCGGUAAUACGAAGGGUGCAAGCGUUAAUCGGAAUUACUGGGCGUAAAGCGCGCGUAGGUGGUUCAGCAAGUUGGAGGUGAAAUCCCGGGCUCAACUGGGAACUGCCUCCAAAACUACUGAGCUAGAGUACGGUAGAGGGUAGUGGAAUUUCCUGUGUAGCGGUGAAAUGCGUAGAUAUAGGAAGGAACACCAGUGGCGAAGGCGACUACUGACUGAUACUGACACUGA